AUUGAACGAUGGCGGCAGGCCUAACACAUGCAAGUCGGGCGAGCGGCGGAAGGGUGAGUACUGUAUGGGGAUCUGCCUGCUGGAGGGGGAUAACUACUGGAAACGGUAGCUAAUACCGCAUACCCUCCGAUGAACACAUAUUGGAUUAGCUUGUAGGUGCGGUAACGUCUCACCUAGGCGCCGCUCCCUAGAUGGUCUGAGAGGAUGAUCAGCCACACUGGUACUGAGACACGUCCCAUACCGCUACGAGCGGUAGCAGUGGGUAAUAUUGCACAAUGGGCGAAAGCCUUAUGCAGCCAUGCAGCGUGUAUUAAGAAGGCCGUCGGGUUGUAAAGUACUUUCAUUCGGGAGGCGUGACCGACAGAAGAAGCACCGGCUAACUCCGUGCCAGCAGCAGCGGUAAUAC
rnacentral:rRNA from 1 species